UGGGGAAUAUUGCACAAUGGGCGCAAGCCUGAUGCAGCAACGCCGCGUGCGGGAUGACGGCCUUCGGGUUGUAAACCGCUUUCAGCAGGGACGAAGCGCAAGUGACGGUACCUGCAGAAGAAGCACCGGCUAACUACGUGCCAGCAGCCGCGGUAAUACGUAGGGGGCGAGCGUUACCCGGAAUCACUGGGCGUAAAGGGAGCGUAGGUGGCCUAACAUGUCAACUGUGAAAACCCGGAGCUCAACUCCGGACUUGCAGUUGAAACUGGUAGGCUUGAGGACGGUAGAGGAAGACGGAACUGCCAGUGUAGGGGUAAAAUCCUUAGAUAUUGGCAGGAACGCCGGUGACGAAGGUGGUUUUCUGGGCCGGUUCUGACACUGAUGCUCGAAAGCCAGGGGAGCGAACGGG
rnacentral:rRNA from 1 species